rnacentral:lncRNA from 1 species
AGGUCCACUACCUGGUGCAACUCGACUUCAGGGACAAGUGCUCCGUAGUUUCUACGCUCCAGGUCCGCUACCUGGUGAAACUCUACUCUCUGAGGACAAGGAAGACGAGGAGAACAAGGUGGACGAAGAGAACGAGGAUUUCUGCACGGUCGUUAUCGGUGGGUGUUAGAGGUGAUCUGAGGUGGACAAGAAGGACGAGGAAGACGUGGAGAACAAGGUGGGGGAGGAGGACGAGGAUUUGUGCUCGGUACAACCCAAGGUGGUUAUCGGUGGUCGUCGGUCGUCGUUGGAGGUGGUCGGAGGUAGAC